UAAUACGGAGGGUGCAAGCGUUAAUCGGAAUUACUGGGCGUAAAGCGCACGCAGGCGGUUUGUUAAGUCAGAUGUGAAAUCCCCGAGCUUAACUUGGGAACUGCAUUUGAAACUGGCAAGCUAGAGUCUUGUAGAGGGGGGUAGAAUUCCAGGUGUAGCGGUGAAAUGCGUAGAGAUCUGGAGGAAUACCGGUGGCGAAGGCGGCCCCCUGGACAAAGACUGACGCUCAGGUGCGAAAGCGUGGGGAGCAAACAGGAUUAGAUACCCUGGUAGUCCACGCUGUAAACGAUGUCGAUUUGGAGGUUGUGGGCUUGACCCGUGGCUUCCGGAGCUAACGCGUUAAAUCGACCGCCUGGGGAGUACGGCCGCAAGGUUA
rnacentral:rRNA from 1 species